GCUGCAAUCAAAGGAAAACAAAAGGUCUCAGCCCCUCUCCUUCUGCUAAGGCGCAAUAAGUGCCCAUCAUCGUGACCCUCUCUCCACGCACACACUGCAACGGCGGCCGGAGAACAGGUAUAGUUGCGAAAACCUCGGAAUCGUGAGGCAUGGCGGAGUGGGACGCUGGUGAGAGGCGUGUGGCGCGAGGGCUCAAGCAACAGCCUUGGGUUUCUGUUUGUUUGGGCCUUGUUUGGGUUUAUUUUGGGGCCUAUGUUUCUUGUAUUGGGUCAUGGCAUAAAUUAAUUGGGCUGUGUAGUGUUUUUGGGUUUGGGUUUGUGAGCUUUGGGCCCGGGCAUAAAUUUGGUCUUACAGACAUAUUUAAAAAUUUAACGUUUUAGUCAAUAUUUUGGUUAAAAAUAAAGCAAUUCCACUUUUCUUGUCUUUAGAAGAUUGAGAACCAAAUUUAGUUCAAAAAAGAAUAAGGGUCAAUUUGACAAGAGAUGUAAACAUUGAGGUUAAUUUUAUCAUUAUGCCUUUUUAUUUAAGGAA